rnacentral:rRNA from 1 species
GAUGAACGCUAGCUACAGGCUUAACACAUGCAAGUCGAGGGGCAGCACAAUGUAGCAAUACACGGGUGGCGACCGGCGCACGGGUGCGUAACGCGUAUCCAACCUUCCCGUUACUCUUGGAUAGCCUUCCGAAAGGGAGAUUAAUACAAGAUGGUAUUCAAAUUUCGCAUGUUAUUUGAAUUAAAGAUUUAUCGGUAACGGAUGGGGAUGCGUGACAUUAGGUAGAUGGCGGGGUAACGGCCCACCAUGCCUACGAUGUCUAGGGGUUCUGAGAGGAAGGCCCCCCACACUGGAACUGAGACACGGUCCAGACUCCUACGGGAGGCAGCAGUGAGGAAUAUUGGUCAAUGGUCGGAAGACUGAACCAGCCAAGUAGCGUGAAGGAUGAAGGUUCUAUGGAUUGUAAACUUCUUUUAUACGGGAAUAAACCUCCCACGUGUGGGAGCUUGUAUGUACCGUAUGAAUAAGCAUCGGCUAACUCCGUG